rnacentral:rRNA from 1 species
AUUGAACGCUGGCGGCAUGCUUUACACAUGCAAGUCGAACGGGCUUGGGGGCUUGCUCCCAAGUUAGUGGCGAACGGGUGAGUAAUGUAUCGGAACGUACCAUUCAGUGGGGGAUAACGUAGCGAAAGUUACGCUAAUACCGCAUAUUCUGUGAGCAGGAAAGCAGGGGAUCGCAAGACCUUGCGCUGAUUGAGCGGCCGAUAUCAGAUUAGCUAGUUGGUGAGGUAAAGGCUCACCAAGGCGACGAUCUGUAGCGGGUCUGAGAGGAUGAUCCGCCACACUGGAACUGAGACACGGUCCAGACUCCUACGGGAGGCAGCAGUGGGGAAUUUUGGACAAUGGGGGCAACCCUGAUCCAGCCAUGCCGCGUGAGUGAAGAAGGCC